rnacentral:rRNA from 1 species
GGAAUUGUUCGCAAUGGGCGCAAGCCUGACGACGCAAUGCCGCGUGGAGGAUGAAGACCUUCGGGUCGUAAACUCCUUUCGACCGAGAUGAACGCCCGCCGACCCAAUACGUCGGCGGGGUGACAGUAUCGACGGAAGCAGCCCCGGCUACCUCCGUGCCAGCAGCCGCGGUAAUACGGGGGGGGCGAGCGUUGUUCGGAAUUACUGGGCGUAAAGGGUUCGUAGGUGGCCUGCUAAGUCAGAUGUGAAAUCCCUCGGCUCAACUGAGGAACUGCAUCUGAGACUGGAAGGCUUGAGUGCAGGAGAGGAACGCGGAAUUCCAGGUGUAGCGGUGAAAUGCGUAGAUAUCUGGAGGAACACCGGUGGCGAAGGCGGCGUUCUGGACUGCAACUGACACUGAGGAACGAAAGCCAGGGGAGCAAACG